GAUAAUAUUUUGAACCGCAUGGUUCAAAAGUGAAAGACGGUCUUGCUGUCACUUAUAGAUGGAUCCGCGCUGCAUUAGCUAGUUGGUAAGGUAACGGCUUACCAAGGCAACGAUGCAUAGCCGACCUGAGAGGGUGAUCGGCCACACUGGAACUGAGACACGGUCCAGACUCCUACGGGAGGCAGCAGUAGGGAAUCUUCCGCAAUGGGCGAAAGCCUGACGGAGCAACGCCGCGUGAGUGAUGAAGGUCUUCGGAUCGUAAAACUCUGUUAUUAGGGAAGAACAUAUGUGUAAGUAACUGUGCACAUCUUGACGGUACCUAAUCAGAAAGCCACGGCUAACUACGUGCCAGCAGCCGCGGUAAUACGUAGGUGGCAAGCGUUAUCCGGAAUUAUUGGGCGUAAAGCGCGCGUAGGCGGUUUUUUAAGUCUGAUGUGAAAGCCCACGGCUCAACCGUGGAGGGUCAUUGGAAACUGGAAAACUUGAGUGCAGAAGAGGAAAGUGGAAUUCCAUGUGUAGCGGUGAAAUGCGCAGAGAUAUGGAGGAACACCAGUGGCGAAGGCGACUUUCUGGUCUGUAACUGACGCUGAUGUGCGAAAGCGUGGGGAUCAAACAGGAUUAGAUACCCUGGUAGUCCACGCCGUAAACGAUGAGUGCUAAGUGUUAGGGGGUUUCCGCCCCUUAGUGCUGCAGCUAACGCAUUAAGCACUCCGCCUGGGGAGUACGACCGCAAGGUUGAAACUCAAAGGAAUUGACGGGGACCCGCACAAGCGGUGGAGCAUGUGGUUUAAUUCGAAGCAACGCGAAGAACCUUACCAAAUCUUGACAUCCUUUGACAACUCUAGAGAUAGAGCCUUCCCCUUCGGGGGACAAAGUGACAGGUGGUGCAUGGUUGUCGUCAGCUCGUGUCGUGAGAUGUUGGGUUAAGUCCCGCAACGAGCGCAACCCUUAAGCUUAGUUGCCAUCAUUAAGUUGGGCACUCUAAGUUGACUGCCGGUGACAAACCGGAGGAAGGUGGGGAUGACGUCAAAUCAUCAUGCCCCUUAUGAUUUGGGCUACACACGUGCUACAAUGGACAAUACAAAGGGCAGCGAAACCGCGAGGUCAAGCAAAUCCCAUAAAGUUGUUCUCAGUUCGGAUUGUAGUCUGCAACUCGACUACAUGAAGCUGGAAUCGCUAGUAAUCGUAGAUCAGCAUGCUACGGUGAAUACGUUCCCGGGUCUUGUACACACCGCCCGUCACACCACGAGAGUUUGUAACACCCGAAGCCGGUGGAGUAACCUUUUAGGAGCUAGCCGUCGAAGGUGGGACAAAUGAUUGGGGUGAAGUCGUAACAAGGUAGCCGUAUCGGAAGGUGCGGCUGGAUCACCUCCUUU
rnacentral:rRNA from 1 species